GGGGUGGGUGAUCAAUAACGACGUCGUGUGCAUUCGCUGACGAGUAUUCCGCUUGAAAUAAAUCGAAUAAACCUCGAGUAAAGAUUACAAGAAAGAGACAGAAAGAAAGAAAGCAAGCAAGAAAGCAAGCAAGCAAGAAAGAAAGGAAAGGUUAAGUAGCGAAUUGAGAACCACUGUUCUUUCCUCUACCUGGGUAAGCUAUGAGAGAACGGUAGAGUGUCCUCGUAAAACCGAGCGAGAAAGCUGAUCGCGUUGAGUUGAAGGGGAUAGACGAUGAACAACAACAGCCUAGAGUUAGACAGUCUACCGUGGCCCGUAUAAAGAAGGACACCCGAUAUAUAUAUAGGAAACCCAUAGAAAGAAAGGAAGGAAGAGAGGAGGAAUGGAUGGGGCAUUGUAUUCCUAGUCGUUGUGUUGUUGUCGUCCUAAUAAUCACCAUUGGAUUUUAUUUUUUUGUGCCAUAGUUAAACAUCGUUAUUGAUGUUUGGUCGUUGGUUGAUUGGUUGGUUGGUUAUUGUGACGGUUGUGUCGAGGCCGUUUCCAGGUGGCAUAUAGUGAACCCAUAGAGAGGGAGAUAGAAAGAAGAAGUAAAAGAAAAAGAAGAAGAAGAAGAAGGCAUUAUACUGUUGGUCGUUGUCGUCAUCAUCGCAGUCCCCGUCGGUGUUGCUGUCGCUGUCGCUGUCGCUGCUGCUGUUGUCCGAGUGGUGUUGGGGCCGUUUCCAAGUGCCACCGAAGAGGGCACGCUUAUGUGUGUUAGUUGGUGUUCGUCGCGAGCCAGAAACUGUCGUAGUAGUAGUAGAGAGUAGUAGUCAUAGUAGUCGUGUUGUCCCUCUCUUUUACAUAAAACGUGUGCGCGUGUAAUUGAACCUUUACGUCAACGUUCUGUGUCUCCUCUCGGUUUUCUGUUCAUACGAUGAGUCAAGAAGAAAAAGAAGAA
rnacentral:lncRNA from 1 species